CCUACGGGAGGCUGCAGUGGGGAAUAUUGGACAAUGGGCGAAAGCCUGAUCCAGCCAUGCCGCGUGUGUGAAGAAGGCCUUCGGGUUGUAAAGCACUUUCAGUGGAGAAGAAAGCCUUGGGGCUAAUACCCUCGAGGAAGGACAUCACCCACAGAAGAAGCACCGGCUAACUCCGUGCCAGCAGCCGCGGUAAUACGGAGGGUGCGAGCGUUAAUCGGAAUUACUGGGCGUAAAGCGCGCGUAGGCGGUCUGAUAAGCCGGUUGUGAAAGCCCCGGGCUCAACCUGGGAACGGCAUCCGGAACUGUCAGGCUAGAGUGCAGGAGAGGAAGGUAGAAUUCCCGGUGUAGCGGUGAAAUGCGUAGAGAUCGGGAGGAAUACCAGUGGCGAAGGCGGCCUUCUGGACUGACACUGACGCUGAGGUGCGAAAGCGUGGGUAGCAAACAGGACUAGAUACCCGGGUAGUC
rnacentral:rRNA from 1 species